ACGGGUGAGUAACACGUGGGAACGUGCCUUUAGGUUCGGAAUAACUCAGGGAAACUUGUGCUAAUACCGAAUGUGCCCUUCGGGGGAAAGAUUUAUCGCCUUUAGAGCGGCCCGCGUCUGAUUAGCUAGUUGGUGAGGUAAAGGCUCACCAAGGCGACGAUCAGUAGCUGGUCUGAGAGGAUGAUCAGCCACAUUGGGACUGAGACACGGCCCAAACUCCUACGGGAGGCAGCAGUGGGGAAUCUUGCGCAAUGGGCGAAAGCCUGACGCAGCCAUGCCGCGUGAAUGAUGAAGGUCUUAGGAUUGCAAAAUUCUUUCACCGGGGACGAUAAUGACGGUACCCGGAGAAGAAGCCCCGGCUAACUUCGUGCCAGCAGCCGCGGUAAUACGAAGGGGGCUAGCGUUGCUCGGAAUUACUGGGCGUAAAGGGAGCGUAGGCGGACAUUUAAGUCAGGGGUGAAAUCCCGGGGCUCAACCUCGGAAUUGCCUUUGAUACUGGGUGUCUUGAGUAUGAGAGAGGUGUGUGGAACUCCGAGUGUAGAGGUGAAAUUCGUAGA
rnacentral:rRNA from 1 species